rnacentral:rRNA from 1 species
AUUGAACGCUGGCGGCGUGCUUAACACAUGCAAGUCGAUCGGUAACGCGGGGGCAACCCUGGCGACGAGAGGCGGACGGGUGAGGAACGCUUGGGAAUCUGCCUAUCAGCGGGGGACAACACGGGGAAACUCGUGCUAAUACCGCAUACGCUCUACGGAGGAAAGCCGGGGACCGCAAGGCCUGGCACUGAUAGAUGAGCCCAAGCCGGAUUAGCUAGUUGGCGGGGUAACGGCCCACCAAGGCGACGAUCCGUAGCUGGUCUGAGAGGACGAUCAGCCACACGGGGACUGAGACACGGCCCAGACUCCUACCGGAGGCAGCAGUGGGGAAUAUUGGACAAUGGGGGAAACCCUGAUCCAGCGACGCCGCGUGGGUGAAGAAGGCCUGCGGGUUGUAAAGCCCUUUCGGUAGGGACGAAAGCUCUCGACCUAACACGUCGGGAGGUUGACUUAACCUACAAAAGAAGCACCGGCUAACUCUGUGCCAGCCGCCGCGGUAAAAC